UGCCAGCCGCCGCGGUAACACGGGGGGCGCAAGCGUUAUUCGGAAUUAUUGGGCGUAAAGCGCGCGUAGGCGGCUUAGUAAGUUGAUAGUGCAAGCCCGGGGCUCAACCCCGGAAUUGCUCUCAAAACUGCUAGGCUAGAGUAUGGUAGGGGAUAGCGGAAUUCCUAGUGUAGAGGUGAAAGUCGUAGAUAUUAGGAGGAACACCAGUGGCGAAGGCGGCUAUCUGGGCCAUUACUGACGCUAAGGCGCGAAAGCGUGGGGAGCAAACAGGAUUAGCUA
rnacentral:rRNA from 1 species